AUCCAGAUGACGAUUCCCAAAUAGGAUGAAACACGCGUCCACGAU
rnacentral:hammerhead_ribozyme from 1 species